ACGCUGGCGGCGUGCCUAAUACAUGCAAGUAGAACGCUGAAGAGAGGAGCUUGCUCUUCUUGAAUGAGUUGCGAACGGGUGAGUAACGCGUAGGUAACCUGCCUUGUAGCGGGGGAUAACUAUUGGAAACGAUAGCUAAUACCGCAUAACAAUGGGUGACACAUGUCAUUUAUUUGAAAGGGGCAAUUGCUCCACUACAAGAUGGACCUGCGUUGUAUUAGCUAGUAGGUGGGGUAACGGCUCACCUAGGCGACGAUACAUAGCCGACCUGAGAGGGUGAUCGGCCACACUGGGACUGAGACACGGCCCAGACUCCUACGGGAGGCAGCAGUAGGGAAUCUUCGGCAAUGGGGGCAAUCCUGACCGAGCAACGCCGCGUGAGUGAAGAAGGUUUUCGGAUCGUAAAGCUCUGUUGUAAGUCAAGAACGAGUGUGAGAGUGGAAAGUUCACACUGUGACGGUAGCUUACCAGAAAGGGACGGCUAACUACGUGCCAGCAGCCGCGGUAAUACGUAGGUCCCGAGCGUUGUCCGGAUUUAUUGGGCGUAAAGCGAGCGCAGGCGGUUUGAUAAGUCUGAAGUUAAAGGCUGUGGCUCAACCAUAGUUCGCCUUGGAAACUGUCAAACUUGAGUGCAGAAGGGGAGAGUGGAAUUCCAUGUGUAGCGGUGAAAUGCGUAGAUAUGUGGAGGAACACCGGUGGCGAAAGCGGCUCUCUGGUCUGUAACUGACGCUGAGGCUCGAAAGCGUGGGGAGCGAACAGGAUUAGAUACCCUGGUAGUCCACGCCGUAAACGAUGAGUGCUAGGUGUUGGAUCCUUUCCGGGAUUCAGUGCCGCAGCUAACGCAUUAAGCACUCCGCCUGGGGAGUACGACCGCAAGGUUGAAACUCAAAGGAAUUGACGGGGGCCCGCAC
rnacentral:rRNA from 1 species